rnacentral:rRNA from 1 species
GAUGAACGCUGGCGGCGUGCUUAACACAUGCAAGUCGAACGGGAUCCUUGGCAGCUUGCUGCCGGGGUGAGAGUGGCGAACGGGUGAGUAAUGCGUGACCGACCUGCCCCAUGCACCGGAAUAGCUCCUGGAAACGGGUGGUAAUGCCGGAUGUUCCACAUGAGCGCAUGCGAGUGUGGGAAAGGCUUUUUGCGGCAUGGGAUGGGGUCGCGUCCUAUCAGCUUGUUGGUGGGGUAACGGCCUACCAAGGCGUUGACGGGUAGCCGGCCUGAGAGGGCGACCGGCCACAUUGGGACUGAGAUACGGCCCAGACUCCUACGGGAGGCAGCAGUGGGGAAUAUUGCACAAUGGGCGCAAGCCUGAUGCAGCGACGCCGCGUGCGGGAUGGAGGCCUUCGGGUUGUAAACCGCUUUUGUUCAAGGGCAAGGCACGGUUUCGGCCGUGUUGAGUGGAUUGUUCGAAUAAGCACCGGCUAACUACGUGCCAGCAGCCGCGGUAAUACGUAGGGUGCAA